CCUUCCUCCACUGAAGCAUAUCAGCCCACAUAUGCUUGGCUCUCUCGAUAUCAAACUUUCUUGCUUUUAAGAACCUCAACAUCAUAUAGUAGUCAUCGUGUCUUUCAGGUAACAACUCAUCCAAAAGUAAUGAUUGUCUAAACUGAUCAACAGCCUGUAGCUCCUCAGCAUCCCGAAUGUCCUCGAUGGAAAGUGAGCUCAACCGUCCAUUGCUUUUUCUUCUACUACUUUUCUUCUUAAGAGAAUGUUUGAAUUUCGUUGAUGCAUUCAAUGCUUUCUUUUUCAGGGAACCAAUUCUCGUCCUCCUCUCAUCCUCUGAAUUCUCAAAAUCGGACUUUCUUUCUCUUCUCUCAUCAUGUGUAGAUGACCCCUCAAAGCAAGGUCUAGCAAACCGAUCUAAUGGACCCGACAUGGCUGCCGGCGGCGACUAGAAAAUCAAGAAUCUCAACUCCAACAGAUCGACAAAUCGCAAAAUACCUUCGAAAAGACAGCAAUAAAUAAAUUACAUGAGCAAGAAAGAAGAAAAUUGAUGAAGUGUAACCGAAAAGUGGCGUAGAGGAAGGGGUACUGUGGGAAUAACAAAAUUACAUACGCCGUAUGAUAAUAUAUAUAUAUCACCGGAUAACCCGACGGCGAUAUAGGAGAGAGAAA
rnacentral:misc_RNA from 1 species